GAUGAACGCUGGCGGCGUGCCUAAUACAUGCAAGUCGAGCGAACAGACGAGGAGCUUGCUCCUCUGACGUUAGCGGCGGACGGGUGAGUAACACGUGGAUAACCUACCUAUAAGACUGGGAUAACUUCGGGAAACCGGAGCUAAUACCGGAUAAUAUAUUGAACCGCAUGGUUCAAUAGUGAAAGACGGUUUUGCUGUCACUUAUAGCUGGAUCCGCGCCGCAUUAGCUAGUUGGUAAGGUAACGGCUUACCAAGGCGACGAUGCGUAGCCGAACUGAGAGAGGGAUAGGCCACAUGGGAAGUGAGACAGGGUCAAGACGACUAAGGGAGGCAGCAGUAGGGAAUCGUACGCAAUGGGCGAAAGCCUGACGGAGCAAGGCCGAGUGAGUGAUGAAGGCGUUCGGAGCGUAAAACUCUGUUAUGAGGGAAGAACAAAUGUGUAAGGAACUAUGCACGGCUUGACGGUACCGAAUCAGAAAGCCACGGCUAACUACGUG
rnacentral:rRNA from 1 species